UAGGGAAUAUUGGGCAAUGGGCGAAAGCCUGACCCAGCCACGCCGCGUGUGUGGUGGAGGCCUUCGGGUCGUAAAGCACUGUGGGGAGGGACGAACAUACGCAUGAGGAAAUGCUUGCGUACUGACGGUACCUCCUUAGCAAGCACCGGCUAACUCUGUGCCAGCAGCCGCGGUAAUACAGAGGGUGCAAACGUUGCUCGGAUUUACUGGGCGUAAAGCGCGUGUAGGCGGACUCGCAAGUCGGUUGUGAAAUCCCUGGGCUCAACCUAGGAACUGCAUCCGAAACUGCUUGUCUUGAGUAAUGGAGAGGGUGGCGGAAUUCCCGGUGUAGAGGUGAAAUUCGUAGAUAUCGGGAGGAACAUCAGUGGCGAAGGCGGCCACCUGGACAUUUACUGCCGCUGAGACGCGAAAGCGUGGGGAGCGAACAGGAUUAGAUACCCUGGUAGUCCACGCUGUAAACGAUGAUUACUCGGUGUUGGCGAUAUACAGUCAGUGCCUAAGCGAAAGUGAUAAGUAAUCCACCUGGGGAGUACGGUCGCAAGAUUG
rnacentral:rRNA from 1 species